GCUCACCAAACCGAUAAUCGAUAGGGGCCGUGAGAGCGGGAGCCCCGAGAUGGGUACUGAGACAACGACCCAGGCCUUACGAGGCGCAGCAGGCGCGGAACCUCCGCAAUACACGCAAGUGUGACGGGGUUACCCAAAGUGUUCUUAUUGAACUGUGGUAGGUGAGUAAUGUUCCCUACUAGAAAGGAGAGGGCAAGGCUGGUGCCAGCCGCCGCGGUAAAACCAGCUCUUCAAGUGGUCGGGAUGAUUAUUGGGCUUAAAGUGUCCGUAGCCGGUUUAGUAAGUUCUUGGUAAAAUCGGGUAGCUUAACUAUCUGUAUGCUAAGAAUACUGCUAUACUAGAGGGCGGGAGAGGUCUGAGGUACUAUAGGGGUAGGGGUGAAAUCUUAUAAUCCUUGUAGGACCACCAGUGGCGAAGGCGUCAGACUGGAACGCGCCUGACGGUGAGGGACGAAAGCCAGGGGAGCGAACCGGAUUAGAUACCCGGGUAGUCCUGGCCGUAAACGAUGCAUACUAGGUGAUGGUACGGCUAUGAGCCGUAUCAGUGCCGUAGGGAAACCGUUAAGUGUGCCGCCUGGGAAGUACGGUCGCAAGGCUAAAACUUAAAGGAAUUGGCGGGGGAGCACCACAAGGGGUGAAGCCUGCGGUUUAAUUGGACUCAACGCCGGGAAACUUACCAGGGGAGACAGUAGAAUGAUAGUCAGGUUGACGACCUUACUUGACGAGCUGAGAGGAGGUGCAUGGCCGUCGCCAGUUCGUGCUGUGAGGUAUCCUGUUAAGUCAGGCAACGAACGAGAUCCGCGCCUUUAUUUGCCAGCAAGAAGUUACGACUUCGUUGGGAACACUAAAGGGACCGCCGUCGAUAAGACGGAGGAAGGAGCGGGCAAAGGCAGGUCAGUAUGCCCCGAAACCCCUGGGCUACACGCGGGCUGCAAUGGUAUGAACAAUGGGCUGUAACUCCGAAAGGAGAAACCAAUCCCGAAAUCAUAUCUCAGUUGGAAUUGUCGGCUGUAACCCGCCGACAUGAACGUGGAAUCCCUAGUAAUCGUGUGUCAUCAUCGCACGGUGAAUACGUCUCUGCUCCCUGCACACACCGCCCGUCGCUCCAUCCGAGUAUACUAAAAAUGAGGUUUGGUCAUUCUGGUCAUAUCGAGUUUCUAGUAUGCGAGGAGGGAGAAGUCGUAACAAGGUAGCC
rnacentral:rRNA from 1 species